rnacentral:rRNA from 1 species
UGGGGAAUUGUUCACAAUGGGCGCAAGCCUGAUGACGCAACGCCGCGUGGGGGAUGAAGGUCUUCGGAUUGUAAACCCCUGUCGAGCGGGACGAAUGGCCCGCGCUUUAACAUGGCGCGGGAAUGAUGGUACCGCUAAAGGAAGCCACGGCUAACUCUGUGCCAGCAGCCGCGGUAAUACAGAGGUGGCAAGCGUUGUUCGGAAUUACUGGGCGUAAAGGGCGCGUAGGCGGCCAUCUAAGUCAGACGUGAAAUCCCCCGGCUUAACCUGGGAACUGCGUCUGAUACUGGAAGGCUCGAGUUUGGGAGAGGGAUGCAGAAUUCCAGGUGUAGCGGUGAAAUGCGUAGAUAUCUGGAGGAAUACCGGUGGCGAAGGCGGCAUCCUGGACUAACACUGACGCUGAGGCGCGAAAGCUAGGGGAGCAAACGG